rnacentral:rRNA from 1 species
UACGAGAGGCCCAAACGUUAUUCGGAAUUACUGGGCUUAAAGAGUUCGUAGGCGGCGCAGAAAGUAGGGUGUGAAAGCCCUCGGCUCAACCGAGGAAUUGCGCUCUAAACUACUGUGCUUGAGGAAGCUAGAGGUGAGCAGAACUGAUGGUGGAGCGGUGAAAUGCGUUGAUAUCAUCAGGAAUACCGGAGGCGAAGGCGGCAUCCUGGACCGAGAUUGACACUGGAUGAGCGAAAGCUAGGGGAGCAAACGGG